rnacentral:sRNA from 1 species
UUGACAACUAAAUUUGCAGGGAAAUAGACACAAAAACACUAUAAUUUUUUGUCAUUGGAUUAUUAAUUUAAAGAGCUUAUUAACUGAGUAUACAACUAAUAGUCAUUUAAAAUUUGUUACGUGUCGGUUUGUCAGUCGAGGGUCAACGCCGUCCAGCCAGUACUUUCAUUCACACAAAAACAACACCAAAUCGACACAUCUCUAAACAACGGAUUCCAAAACGGACACAAGGGCCAGGAGCAAAACUACGCAAAACAAAGAUAAGAAAAAAACUAAUAAAACCCAAUAACAACAAAUCGGACAUUAAACGGUGGCAUCGCUGUUGUUUUUGUGGUGCUAUUGAUUAAUUCGCAUUUCACCACCAUAAAAUUUCAUAUGUAAGACGGCACUUAUCCGAACGACGUGGACAUUCACAUCCCCUCCAUAAUCUUAUGAUUAUAACAAUCAAAAUCUAAAAUUUCAUUUCACUAUAGAAUACAAUUCAAUUCAACAAUAUUUUCGCACGAUCGUAAGCAAACGGAGAAUCUUGCCAAACGCUAUUGUCGGUGGCCGCAAGAAUUAACAUAAAAGUUACUUGUCAGUAGUUUGCACCAAUGGAGAACAAGAUACCAACGUAAAUAACAUAUAACCGGGGGGCCUAAUAUGAGUCUGUUUCUGGCUCUGCCUGUUGCUCGGGCCGAAGACAGACGUUAUGGAACGGAGUCAUUCGGUUGACGUUGUCAUUUGCCUCAUCGUCUAUCCGUCUGGAUAAUGCCAGUAAAAAGGGCGCCGAUGAUAUGGCUGACGGGCACCACUGGAGCGAAACAUUGUCUGGGUGGAAACCUGCUGGUCUCUAUGGCUCGAGAACUUCGUGGUCGACCUAAAAUCCUCAGCGUGGAUCUUUUCGUUGCCAGAACCGUUUGCCGUUUUCAUUUGUUGGAUUGUUUAUUACGUUUCGUGUGUCGUAUUUUUUAGUGUCGGUUGUAUAUGUUUUGGAAGUUUGAAUAUCUUUUCUCCGGCAUUACUAAUUUUAUAUGGGCUAUUCAUUUUCUUUUGGUACCAUUUGAAUAUUUUGUUAAAUAUAUUAUUAUUAAUAAGCGUUUUAUAAGUUCCUUGCCAAAUGUAUAUUUCAGGCUACUUAAGCUUUUUUAAUUCGCCGGAAUAAAAAAGAAAAGUGCUACUGGUGCGUUUGAGCAGAGUCCGACUGUCUUGCACCGCCUCAUCAAAAUUGACUUUAUCGUUGCUGCCGAAAGCCUCUCCAUACAAUCAUAUUUUCGGUGAAUUUGCUACCCAUAGUCAGAAUUGGCAUGGGUAAAUCAACGACUGGGUAAAUCGCUCAUUUUUCUGCGAGCGAUUCGGGCGAGCAUCCGCCUACGCACUCCUGCGUUUUUGGUCAAUUCAGUGGAUCCUGA